rnacentral:tRNA from 1 species
UGGGAUGUGGCUCAGUUGGUAGAGUGUUUGACUGUUACACAUGAAUCCCUGAGUUCAGUUCCCAGCACUACAU